rnacentral:lncRNA from 1 species
UCCAAAUCAUCAUCAGCCUCCUGAAUAGACGCCAUCAACGACCUUGGAGCUCUGAUCAGCCCCCUGUUUGUUUAUAUUGUUAAAGAUAUUUUUACCUUUAUUAGUUAUAGGUAAAGUUGUAAUUUAUCUUUACUUUUAGGUGUGUUUGUAUUUUAAUCAUGAAUAUAUACAAACACCUUGGUGGUUUAAGACAUCAAGCAGGGAAUCAACCCAACUCUCCACUCUCAUCUUCUAAAAUCUCUAUCUUCUUCAUCCUUCAAUCAACAUCUUAGCAAUGGCAGGUAGUGACGGAUCCUAUAAGUUCAAGAUGGUAUCAGAGCCAUCCAACGUAGUGACACUUUCGAUGAACUCAAUCAUCUCAUCCGAAGAAUCUUUCACGCCGGCGACUAGCUCCAAACUUGGGAUCACUCCACCACUUUCUCAAUGUCAAGCUAAGUUCUUCCAACUACAUUCUUUGGAAGAAUCAGUUCGAUCCAAUCCUCAACUACACCGAUCUCUACUUCCGGUAGAGAAGGAGGCAAAGGGGAGGAGGAAAGAUGAAGAACAAGCCAUUAAUCUUUCUGACCACGUACUGCUUCUCUAUUUCUCAAACUCAAUCUUAAAACUCUAUCCACACAAUCUGAAUGAAGGAUAGAAUUCGGAAUGGCAUCCACGUCAUCAGAAUUAAGGAUAAUAAUAAAAACAUGUUUUUUUUCAUCUUCUUACAAUCAAUCCCACGUAAGCAUAAAAUGAUAAAAUCAUAUCUUAUUUGAAUAUCAAUAUCUAAAGAUGUUCUAGAAUAUCUUGGUCACUGAGCGCUUUGGAUUUUAACUAACAAAAGUCAAGAACACCAUAUUUGAAAUACAUAACCAUAUGAAAAAGAUAUAAUUACCAAUUUACUACUCAAUAAUGAAUAUCGAAGAAGACUGUCAGCUAUCGUCGCUUUCAUUUCCAUCUUAUUUGAAUAUCAACAUCUACUCUUGUAGAAUAUCAACUCCUGGC